rnacentral:tRNA from 1 species
UCCUCAGUAGCUCAGGGUAGAGCGGUCGGCUGUUAACCGAUUGUGUCGUAGGUUCGAAUCCUACUUGGGGAG